GGAAAAAAGUCCACUUCGGAUGUUUCUGGAUAUGCAUCUGGAAAAGAUGCCUCUGGGAAAGGGCUCUCUUCGGACUGAACUCUUCACGGACAGAGUCUCUGCUUUGACAUAGUUUUGGCUUCAGGAACUGAUUUCUUGUUAAUUUAGCAGUAAUUUGAAAAACGACUUCACUGUUGACCAUGAACAUCGCGGCGGAGAUCAUUACGACUCGCCACUGCAAACGGACCUCAUUUCACGUUAACCACAUGUGACACCGUCACUCCCGAGAACGCUGCCUGACUGUAAAUCCUCGCAGGACGACUGAACUCUCGAGAAAUACAACCUACCUUCAGAAGCAAUUCUCCUUGCAAUGAGAAGCAGUGCUAAGAAAGCUGCAUUUCCUUCCAGGCGUUUCACAGAAAGUCCCUGCAGUUAGUAACACCGGCUCUUCCAGUGAAACUUGUCUCAAUGAUAUUGAUGUGAUGUGCGUGGCCCCGGUGUGCAAAUACUGCAUUAGAAACACA